AUGCUGUCUUCUCAGGAUGCUUCAAUGGUGGGAGCAUGCUCUGGUGGGAUGAAAAUAAUUCCACAUGGUUCGGUUGGAACUGUUGCUAUCACUCAGGGAAACUCUAAUGAAAUCAGUGCAGUACUGUGUAGAUAUUCAGCACCAGAAGAGGUACAUCUCUUCAGUUGCCUAAAAAUCAUGUCAACAAAUAAGAUUGUUUGUACCUUACAAAAUUCACCCGGGCAGGUUGGUACUUUGCCAUCAGCAUGUGUUGCAUGUGCUAGUGAGUGUGCCAGUCUGAUUAUUUUCUACAAGUACAAGUAUCUUUUUCGCCUUAAAUUUCAAUCUCAGAAACAGAUUAUACGUAGUGUUUCUGUCCUGGUAGCUUUGGUUAUGUGA
rnacentral:rRNA from 1 species